AAGUGACUCAGAAGUUAUUUCCACAGUAUACUCAAAGCCCACUUUGUUUAAGGCAUUCCUUCUCUUCCAGAAGCAGGUAAGCACAAGCUACUUCCAUGGACUCUAGGUAUAUUGCGGCUAGGCAGAGGACAUGACUGGAUGAAUAAGCUGGGAGAGCAUUGUUGUGAUAUAGUAGUUCUGUUUGUAGCAUCUUAUUGAGGCCUUGAAGGAAAACCAGUUUUCGUGCAUUUUGUUCCAUACAUUUUUGGCUUAUAGGGUGCGAAAAGCAAGAACAUAAUGAGUUGCAGUCUUUUUAUCUUGCUUAAUUGAGUCUCUCUCCAGCCUCUUUUCCUGAUUGAUGGUAAUCAUAUAGCUCCCAGAAUUAUCUUUCGAACUCUGCGAAUGUUUGGUGCAGUGUCACAUGAUUGAAAUAGUGGUGGCCCAAGUGGAUGGGAGGGAUGGCAUACUCUGUUACUAAAUAGUUGUGGGUGUCUGUGAGUCUAGGUAUGCAGAAGAGGGUAGGUAGCACUUUCUGUCAAAUGUAUUAUGCUGCCCUGUGAUUCACUAUGAGCAGCAAUUGGAAACUAUGUGUUUGGUUGGCUUCACAGGUCUCAGAGUCUCAGAGUCUUCACAGGUCUCCUUCACCCUUCCAGGUGUGUGUAAUCAAAUGUCGGGUGACCAUGAACGUGAUAGUGAGUGUGUAUGCUGGGAGCUGGAGUCCAAGGUGGCCAUGUUUGCAGUCUGUGAUCUGUGUUUGGAAAUGGAGUUCGGGGCAGCCAUGUUUGUAGGCAGCAGAGCCACCUGGGAGUUGGAGUCCCUCACUAAUUCUGGAGUAUACUUGACAGCGAGAUUGCUGCCUACAGCCCAUACAGUGCCACUGGAUGAAAGAAUGACAUUUACUUCUUGAGGACAGGAAAUGUAGCUCACAAGCUAGCAGUUAAGGAAUUAAUCUGUAACUACUCUUUAUGCAAUAAUUAUGCAAUUACAUGGAAAGCCU
ensembl:lncRNA